rnacentral:rRNA from 1 species
AUUGAACGCUGGCGGCAUGCUUUACACAUGCAAGUCGAACGGCAGCGCGGGCUUCGGCCUGGCGGCGAGUGGCGAACGGGUGAGUAAUGCAUCGGAACGUGCCCAGUAGUGGGGGAUAGCCCGGCGAAAGCCGGAUUAAUACCGCAUACGACCUGAGGGUGAAAGCGGGGGACCGAAAGGCCUCGCGCUAUUGGAGCGGCCGAUGUCGGAUUAGCUAGUUGGUGGGGUAAAGGCUUACCAAGGCGACGAUUCGUAGCUGGUCUGAGAGGACGACCAGCCACACUGGGACUGAGACACGGCCCAGACUCCUACGAGAGGCAGCAGUGGGGAAUUUUGGACAAUGGGGGCAACCCUGAUCCAGCCAUGCCGCGUGCGGGAAGAAGGCCUUCGGGUUGUAAACCGCUUUUGUUCGGGAAGAAAUCCUCUGGGCUAAUACCCCGGGGGGAUGACGGUACCGGAAGAAUAAGCACCGGCUAACUACGUG